UACGUAGGGUGCAAGCGUUGUCCGGAAUUAUUGGGCGUAAAGGGCUCGUAGGCGGUUUUUCACGUCGGGAGUGAAAACUCGGGGCUUAACCCCGAGCCUGCUUCCGAUACGGGCAGACUAGAGGUAUGCAGGGGAGAACGGAAUUCCUGGUGUAGCGGUGAAAUGCGCAGAUAUCAGGAGGAACACCGGUGGCGAAGGCGGUUCUCUGGGCAUUACCUGACGCUGAGGAGCGAAAGUGUGGGGAGCGAACAGG
rnacentral:rRNA from 1 species